CAGCAUACCUAAAGGAUUUCGUGUGAUGCGCUGAGCUGGCCAUUCCCUUAGCUUUGUCUGCCAUUAGUGCCGUAGAUUCCUUUCUGUUAGGAUUAUGCUAGCAGAAGAUGACAAAUUCUGUUAUUCUUCAUACCACUAUAUAUAUGAUGAAUGUAAUAAGGCAAGACAUGAAUGAAAUUACCUUUUCUCUCAAUUGUUUCCCUCUUCUCUUGAAUUCUUCGGAGGAUUCUGGCCCUCGAAGCCCAGAGCUGCUAUCACUUGCCUGAGUAGUCCUGAGUGAAUUAAAAGGU
rnacentral:lncRNA from 1 species